rnacentral:rRNA from 1 species
CCCAGACUCCUACGGGAGGCAGCAGUAGGGAAUUUUCGUCAAUGGGCGCAAGCCUGAACGAGCGAUGCCGCGUGAGUGAAGAAGGCCUUCGGGUCGUAAAGCUCUGUUGCGGGGGAAAAAAGGCAGCAUCAGGAAAUGGGUGCUGACUGAUGGUGCCCCGCCAGAAAGUCACGGCUAACUACGUGCCAGCAGCCGCGGUAAUACGUAGGAUGCGAGCGUUAUCCGGAUUUAUUGGGUUUAAAGGGUGCGUAGGCGGAAUGCCAAGUCAGCGGUAAAAUCGCGGGGCUCAACCUCGCUCCGCCGCUGAAACUGGCGUUCUUGAGUGGGCGAGAAGUAUGCGGAAUGCGUGGUGUAGCGGUGAAAUGCAUAGAUAUCACGCAGAACUCCGAUUGCGAAGGCAGCAUGCCGGCUUCCGACUGACGCUGAAGCACGAAAGCGUGGGGAUCGAACAGGAUUAGAUACCCCAGUA